GUCUCCUGGGGACACAGCAAAGAGGGCGGCGGUCCCCGCGCGCGCCACUAGCCAUCCUAGCCCAGGCCCGGCUCCAAGCAGAGGCAGCGCUGCAGCGGCACCAGCAGAGUUGUGUAGCUGCCUGAACUGAGAGA
rnacentral:lncRNA from 1 species